UACGUAGGGAGCAAGCGUUGUCCGGAAUCAUUGGGCGUAAAGCGCGUGUAGGCGGCUGGGUAAGUCCGCUCUGAAAGCCCGGGGCUCAACCCCGGGAGGCGGGUGGAUACUGCUCAGCUCGAGUCCGGAAGAGGAGUGUGGAAUUCCUGGUGUAGCGGUGAAAUGCGCAGAUAUCAGGAGGAACACCGAUGGCGAAGGCAGGUCUCUGGGCAUUAACUGACGCUGAGGAGCGAAAGCAUGGGGAGCGAACAGG
rnacentral:rRNA from 1 species